rnacentral:snoRNA from 1 species
GGCCUCCUGGUACUUACCAAAAGCUGCGUCCUUACAUUAACUAUAUAGAAAAAAGAGGCGGAUUAAACCUAUCCGGGCUGGGGAGAUAG